UUCACGGAGAGUUUGAUCCUGGCUCAGGACGAACGCUGGCGGCGUGCUUAACACAUGCAAGUCGAACGAUGAACCACUUCGGUGGGGAUUAGUGGCGAACGGGUGAGUAACACGUGGGCAAUCUGCCCUUCACUCUGGGACAAGCCCUGGAAACGGGGUCUAAUACCGGAUACAACACUCUCGGGCAUCCGAUGAGUGUGGAAAGCUCCGGCGGUGAAGGAUGAGCCCGCGGCCUAUCAGCUUGUUGGUGAGGUAACGGCUCACCAAGGCGACGACGGGUAGCCGGCCUGAGAGGGCGACCGGCCACACUGGGACUGAG
rnacentral:rRNA from 1 species